AACGAACGCUGGCGGCAUGCCUAACACAUGCAAGUCGAACGAUCCCUUCGGGGAUAGUGGCGCACGGGUGCGUAACGCGUGGGAACCUGCCCUUAGGUUCGGAAUAACUCAGAGAAAUUUGAGCUAAUACCGGAUAAUGUCUUCGGACCAAAGAUUUAUCGCCUUUGGAUGGGCCCGCGUUGGAUUAGCUAGUUGGUGGGGUAAAGGCCUACCAAGGCGACGAUCCAUAGCUGGUCUGAGAGGAUGAUCAGCCACACUGGGACUGAGACACGGCCCAGACUCCUACGGGAGGCAGCAGUGGGGAAUAUUGGACAAUGGGCGAAAGCCUGAUCCAGCAAUGCCGCGUGAGUGAUGAAGGCCUUAGGGUUGUAAAGCUCUUUUACCCGGGACGAUAAUGACAGUACCGGGAGAAUAAGCCCCGGCUAACUCCGUG
rnacentral:rRNA from 1 species